AGGACGAACGCUGGCGGCGUGCUUAACACAUGCAAGUCGAACGGAAAGGCCCUUCGGGGUACUCGAGUGGCGAACGGGUGAGUAACACGUGGGUGAUCUGCCCUGCACUUUGGGAUAAGCCUGGGAAACUGGGUCUAAUACCGAAUAUGACCUCAGGAUGCAUGUCUUGUGGUGGAAAGCUUUUGCGGUGUGGGAUGGGCCCGCGGCCUAUCAGCUUGUUGGUGGGGUGAUGGCCUACCAAGGCGACGACGGGUAGCCGGCCUGAGAGGGUGUCCGGCCACACUGGGACUGAGAUACGGCCCAGACUCCUACGGGAGGCAGCAGUGGGGAAUAUUGCACAAUGGGCGCAAGCCUGAUGCAGCGACGCCGCGUGGGGAUGACGGCCUUCGGGUUGUAACCCUUUCAGCACAGACGAGCGCAGUGACGGUAUGUGCAGAGAGCACGGCCAACUACGUGCCAGCAGUCGCGGU
rnacentral:rRNA from 1 species